GAUGAACGCUGGCGGCGUGCCUAAUACAUGCAAGUCGAGCGAACAGACGAGGAGCUUACUCCUCUGACGUUAGCGGCGGACGGGUGAGUAACACGUGGAUAACCUACCUAUAGGACUGGGAUAACUUCGGGAAACCGGAGCUAAUACCGGAUAACAUGUUGAACCGCAUGGUUCAACAGUGAAAGACGGUCUUGCUGUUACUUAUAGAUGGAUCCGCGUCGCAUUAGCUAGUUGGUAAGGUAACGGCUUACCAAGGCAACGAUGCGUAGCCGACCUGAGAGGGUGAUCGGCCACACUGGAACUGAGACACGGUCCAGACUCCUACGGGAGGCAGCAGUAGGGAAUCUUCCGCAAUGGGCGAAAGCCUGACGGAGCAACGCCGCGUGAGUGAAGAAGGUCUUCGGAUCGUAAAACUCUGUUAUUAGGGAAGAACAAAUGUGUAAGUAACUAUGCACGUCUUGACGGUACCUAAUCAGAAAGCCACGGCUAACUACGUG
rnacentral:rRNA from 1 species